GCGGUUGGCUCAGUGGUAGAGUGCUUGCCUAGCAUGCAUGAGGCACUGGGUUCAAUUCUCAGCACCACA
rnacentral:tRNA from 1 species